rfam:Alligator mississippiensis ScZkoYb_526.1, whole genome shotgun sequence.
UACCUGGUUGAUCCUGCCAGGAGCAUAUGCUUGUCUUAAAGAUUAAGCCAUGCAUGUCUAUGUACACACGGCUGGUAUGGUGAAACUGUGAAUGGCUCAUUAAAUCAGUUAUGGUUCCUUUGGUUGCUCCAACCAUUACUUGGAUAACUGUGGUAAUUCUAGAUCUAAUACAUGCCGACAAGCGCUGACCUCCGGGCAUGCAUGCAUUUAUCAGACCAAAACCAACCCAGGCUCCCCCAACUUCUUUGGUGACUCUAGAUAACCUUGGGCCGAUCGCAUGCCCCCGUGGCGGUGACGACACAUUCAAAUGUCUGCCCUAUCAACUUUUGAUGGUACUUUUUGUGCCUAUCAUGGUGACCACGGGUAACGGGGAAUCAGAGUUCGAUUCCAGAGAGGGAGCCUGAGAAAUGGCUACCACAUCCAAGGAAGGCAGCAAGCGUGCAAAUUACCCACUCCCAACCAGGGGAGGUAGUGACAAAAAAUAACAAUACAGGACUCUUUCGAGGCCCUGUAAUUGGAAUGAGUACACUUUAAAUCCUUUAACGAGGAUCUAUUGGAGGGCAAGUCUGGUGCCAGCAGCCAUGGUAAUUCCAACUCCAAUAGUAUAUAUUAAAGUUUCUGCAGUUAAAAAGCUCAUAGUUGGAUCUUGGGAUCGAGCUGGCAGUCCGCUGUGAGGCAAGCUACCACCUGUCCCAGCCCCUGCCUCUCACCACUCCCUUGAUGCUCUUAACUGAGUGUCCUGGGGGUCUGAAACAUUUACUUUGAAAAAAUUAGAGUGUUCAAAGCAGGCUGGUCACCAGAAUACUCCAGCUAGGAAUAAUGGAAUAGGACUCCAGUUCUAUUUUGUUGGUUUUCAGAACUGGGGCCAUGAUUAAGAGGGACGGCCUGGGGCAUUUGUAUUGUGCCUGUGGCAGAAAUGCCACCGUCUGUGUCCCCCUCCAGAGAUCUGUCUCUGCCAGCGUGAGAGGGUGGUGUUGAAUUCCUCAGGGAGGGGGAUCUUCCUCCUUACCUACAUGACAGGGGCCUGGUGCCUCGGAUGUGGAUUCUCUGGUCACCUGGGGGGGGCAGGGAAAAGCCCAGUCCACCAGCCCAGGUAGCCAGUGAUGAUUUUUUAGAUUUGUUGGCUUGUGGCCAGCACUGGCAGCUUCAAUUGGACCGGGCUGCUGAGGUCAGAAAGGUUAUUUAAAGGCCUGGUCCAGGAAGAAGGCAGCCAUUAGCCAUGUGGUCACCCAGGUGAAACUCAAACUGGCUCUCUCCUCAUAAACGCAUGCUCCAAGAGUGACCUGCCUCCAGAGGGAAACUCCAACCACCUCUGGAUGAUGCGUGUGAGUAAGCUACUCGAGAUCAGACUAGAUAUUUAGCUUACAGUAACUCAGAUGCGAGAUCAAAAGGCUACCCUCAGCCAUACUGGUUUGCUCUAUGGGAUUCCUCUGAUAUUCCUGUUACUGCUCUACCUUUUACCCUGUUUUCACCCUACCCCCUGUAAUCAAUAAAGUGUUCCUUUGUGACCGGUGUGGGAGACUUAUUGAGGGGUGGGUCUAAAUUAAGCCUAGGAGGCCCCUUAGGUCUGAGGACUAAGGGAGACUUUCCUAAUAAGCCCCGACUUGGGGAAGUGCCCCAAGUACCUGUAUUGAGUCUAGUACCCACGGGACGACCAGGCCUGCAUUUUCCAAGGUGUGCAGAGCCAGAAUUGGGUCCAGAGCCUUGGAUGGUGGCAGCAGGAACCCAGGCUAGCUGGUGUGCUCCAGGAAAGGGUUCAGCUGGAUGUGAGGCACCCCAGGGAGGCACUCGGAGCCUGAAAGGUGGUCAGGAGCAGGGAGGUGGGCAACUCAAUGCAGGAGCGCCCCCUACUGGCCCACCACAGUGUCGCUAGUGGUGAAAUUCUUGGACUGGCGCAAGAUGAACCAAAGUGAAAGCAUUUGCCAAGAACGUUUUCAUUAAUCAAGAAUGCAAGUCAGAUGUUCGAAGACGAUCAGACACCAUCAUAGUUCCAACCAUAAACAAUGCUGACUAGUGAUCCGGCAGUGUUAUUCCCAUGACCCACUGGGCGGUUUCUGGGAAACCAAAGUCUUUGGGUUCUGGGGGAAGUAUGUUUGCAAAGCUGAAACCUAAAGGAAUUGACAGAAGGGCACCACCAGGAGUGGAGCCUGUGGCUUAAUUUGACUCAGCACAGGAAACCUCACCUGGCCCAGACACAGAAAGGAUUGACAGAUUGAUGGCUCUUUCUUGAUUCUGUGGGUGGUGGUGCAUGGCCAUUCUUAGUUGGUGGAGAGAUUUGUCUGGUUAAUUCCAAUAAUGAACAAGACUCUGGGAUGCUAACUAGUUAUGCGACCCCCGAGUGGUCGGCGUCCAACUUCUUAGAGGGACAAGUGGCAUUCAGCCACCUGAGAUUGAGUAAUAACAGGUCUGUGAUGCCCUUAGAGGUCCAGGAUUGCACGCACACUACACUGACUGGCUCAGCGUGUGUCUACCCUAUGCCAACAGGUGCAGGUAACCUGUUGAGCCCCAUUUGUGAUGGGGAUCGGGGAUUGCAAUUAUUCCCCAUGAACAAGGAAUUCCCAGUAAGUGCGGGUCAUAAACUCACAUUGAUUAAGUCCUUGCCCUUUGUACACACCACCUGUUGCUACUAUUGAGUGGAUGGUUUAGUGAGGUCCUCAGACCGGCCCCACUGGGGUCGGUCAUGGCCCUGGUGGAGCACUGAGAAGACUGUCGAACUUGACUAUCUAGAGGAAGUAAAAGUCGUAACAAGGUUUCUGUAGGUGAACCUGCAGAAGGAUCAUUA